rnacentral:rRNA from 1 species
UACGGAGGGUCCAAGCGUUAUCCGGAUUUAUUGGGCUUAAAGGGCGCGUAGGCGGCCUAUUAAGUCAGGGGUGAAAGACGGUAGCUUAACUAUCGCAGUGCCUUUGAUACUGAUGGGCUUGAAUGUACUUGAGGUAGGCGGAAUGUGACAAGUAGCGGUGAAAUGCAUAGAUAUGUCACAGAACACCAAUUGCGAAGGCAGCUUACUAAAGUAUGAUUGACGCUGAGGCACGAAAGCGUGGGGAUCAAACAGG